CUUAACACUGAAGACAUAAACAGGUCUGACAUUUUGGGUCUCUGGCUACUCUUCCUUUCCCAGCUUAUCUUUAGGACUUGCUGACAUGCAAUCCUUUCUACAGUGCUCUCCUUGGGCUUAUGCACAGUCCAUCCGUACCCAUUUAGGUCUUGUCACUUGGAAUCUUCAGUUGUAAGGAGAUCAUGACCUGGAAGGAAGAACAAGUCUUUUCUUAUUGCUUUGCCUUUGUUGGACAUUUUGGUUGAGUACAAUUUUUCCUUAUCACCUUCUGAAUACUUUCUGAAAUA
rnacentral:lncRNA from 1 species